UACGGAGGGUGCAAGCGUUAUCCGGAUUCACUGGGGUUUAAAGGGUGCGUAGGCGGGUAGGUAAGUCAGUGGUGAAAUCCUGGAGCUCAACUCCAGAACUGCCAUUGACACUAUCUAUCUUGAAUAUUGUGGAGGUAAGCGGAAUAUGUCAUGUAGCGGUGAAAUGCUUAGAUAUGACAUAGAACACCCAUUGCGAAGGCAGCUUACUACGCAUAUAUUGACGCUGAGGCACGAAAGCGUGGGGAUCAAACAGG
rnacentral:rRNA from 1 species